AGUCAGAGGUGAGAUUCGCUGCCCAGUUGCUUGGUGGGUGUGGCCAUGGUGGGCGUGGACUACCAGAACUCCCAGGAGGGCCGUUUUUUUUACCUUCCCAAGGAUCCAGAGGUUUCCCUCAGGCCUCUGGGAGGGUGA